rnacentral:tRNA from 1 species
GCGCCCGUAGCUCAAUUGGAUAGAGCGUCUGACUACGGAUCAGAAGGUUGGGGGUUCAAGUCCUCCCGGGCGCA